ensembl:lncRNA
CGACUCUCAGAGGCUCUCAGGCAAUCAGGCGGCAGGAUUUACACAGAAAGAUUUUAAUUUGGACACAUUAGCCGAACGCCUUCACAGGGGCGACAGCUAAGAGGAGCUCUGGGCCGGCGGACAAAAGAGAUGGAGGGAUAAGGAUGAGGUCAACAGUCUGCUACCGAGCAGAUACCAACCGACCGGUGCGCCGGGGGAGAAUAUUCUGGUCGCCUUUUCCGUGUGUCGCCGCCCGUCCCUGCCGCCGCCACCGCCACGGUGGUGAAUAGUGGGUACCUCGCUCAGAGGAGCGAGCUUUCUGCUGAUGGAAUCAAACCCCCUUUCACGGAUUCAAAUGAGGUGCACUCAGCUGUGAUUGGUAUUGGAAAAGCAUUUGUCGGAACAGAGGCUCAGUGAAGCCUCCUUAAAUACAAGGCAAUCACAGUGUCUAACGCAGAGACGAGGCGGGAGAGGUGUGCCCGGACUGCAGAGUGGAAAACAGGACAAAGGAUUAUGAUGGCGGUAACCGGGCCGAGAGACGGGGGAUGGUGCAGUUUGGGGGAGAGAAAAGUUCAAGUAAAAAAAUAAGUGAAUUCAUUUUCACGUCUUAGUUAUAAUGUGUGCAAGGGAAAGAUCAGA